rnacentral:rRNA from 1 species
CAGCCGUAAACUAUGCUCGCUAGGUGUCAGGCAUGGCGCGACCGUGUCUGGUGCCGCAGGGAAGCCGUGAAGCGAGCCACCUGGGAAGUACGGCCGCAAGGCUGAAACUUAAAGGAAUUGGCGGGGGAGCACAACAACGGGUGGAGCCUGCGGUUUAAUUGGACUCAACGCCGGACAACUCACCGGGGACGACAGCAAUAUGUAGGCCAGGCUGAAGACCUUGCCUGAAUCGCUGAGAGGAGGUGCAUAGCGUAGACGUCU